rnacentral:rRNA from 1 species
GAUGAACGCUGGCGGCGUGCCUAACACAUGCAAGUCGAACGGAGUUUUUAGAGGAAGCCUUUCGGGGUGGAACCUUUGAACUUAGUGGCGGACGGGUGAGUAACGCGUGAGCAAUCUGCCUUCAAGAGGGGGACAACAGCUGGAAACGGCUGCUAAUACCGCAUAACAUAUAUUUGUGGCAUCACAGAUAUAUCAAAGGAGAAAUCCGCUUGAAGAUGAGCUCGCGUCCCAUUAGCUAGUUGGCGGGGUAGAGGCCCACCAAGGCGACGAUGGGUAGCCGGACUGAGAGGUUGAACGGCCACAUUGGGACUGGAACACGGCCCAGACUCCUACGGGAGGCAGCAGUGGGGAAUAUUGCGCAAUGGGCGAAAGCCUGACGCAGCGACGCCGCGUGAGGGAUGAAGGCCUUCGGGUCGUAAACCUCUGUCGGAAGGGAAGAACCGCAACUGUGCUAAUCAGCAGUUGUCUGACGGUACCUUCAAAGGAAGCACCGGCUAACUCCGUGCCAGCAGCCGCC